UACGGAGGAUUCAAGCGUUAUCCGGAUUUACUGGGUGUAAAGGGAGCGUAGACGGCUGUGCAAGUCUGAAGUGAAAGCCCAGGGCUCAACCCUGGGACUGCUUUGGAAACUGUGGAGCUAGAGUGCUGGAGAGGUAAGUGGAAUUCCUAGUGUAGCGGUGAAAUGCGUAGAUAUUAGGAGGAACACCAGUGGCGAAGGCGAUUUGCUGGACUGUAACUGACACUGAGGCACGAAAGCGUGGGGAGCAAACAGG
rnacentral:rRNA from 1 species